AUGCUAUGAUAUGGACACUAAUCAGCAUACCCUUGAACCUCUCCCAUGUUUCUUGUAGUGAUUCUGUUGGUCUCUGCAUAAAGCUCAAUAUAUCAUCAAUUUGUUU
rnacentral:snoRNA from 1 species